rfam:Enterobacteriaceae bacterium symbiont of Ferrisia virgata isolate GEFVIR genome assembly, chromosome: I
UGGAAUUAGUGAAUACACUAAAUAUUGAUAUUUGUUUUUUUUCACAAUCAUUUUGGAGUGUUAUGAUGUCUCUAAGUGUUUCAGAGAAGAUGAAAAUUAUUUCCGAUUUCAGAUAUAAUGAU